UACGUAGGUGGCAAGCGUUGUCCGGAUUUAUUGGGUUUAAAGGGUGCGUAGGUGGUCCCAUAAGUCAGUGCUGAAAUAUCCCGGCUUAACCGGGAGGGUGGCAUUGAUACUGCGGGACUUGAGUAAAGUUGAGGUAGGCGGAAUUGACGGUGUAGCGGUGAAAUGCUUAGAUAUCAUCAAGAACACCUAUUGCGAAGGCAGCUUACUAAGCUUUAACUGACACUGAGGCACGAAAGUGUGGGGAUCAAACAGG
rnacentral:rRNA from 1 species